GAGUUUGAUCAUGGCUCAGAUUGAACGCUGGCGGCAGGCCUAACACAUGCAAGUCGAGCGGUAGAGAGAAGCUUGCUUCUCUUGAGAGCGGCGGACGGGUGAGUAAUGCCUAGGAAUCUGCCUGGUAGUGGGGGAUAACGCUCGGAAACGGACGCUAAUACCGCAUACGUCCUACGGGAGAAAGCAGGGGACCUUCGGGCCUUGCGCUAUCAGAUGAGCCUAGGUCGGAUUAGCUAGUUGGUGAGGUAAUGGCUCACCAAGGCGACGAUCCGUAACUGGUCUGAGAGGAUGAUCAGUCACACUGGAACUGAGACACGGUCCAGACUCCUACGGGAGGCAGCAGUGGGGAAUAUUGGACAAUGGGCGAAAGCCUGAUCCAGCCAUGCCGCGUGUGUGAAGAAGGUCUUCGGAUUGUAAAGCACUUUAAGUUGGGAGGAAGGGCAGUAAAUUAAUACUUUGCUGUUUUGACGUUACCGUACAGAAUAAGCACCGGCUAACUCUGUGCCAGC
rnacentral:rRNA from 1 species